UCGAACGAGUUCUCGUUGAUGAUGGGUGCUUGCACCGAGAUUCCCAUGGGAACGAGUGGCGGACGGGUGAGCAACACGUGGGUAACCUGCCCUUAAGUGGGGGAUAACAUUUGGAAACAGAUGCUAAUACCGCAUAGAUCCAAGAACCGCAUGGUUCUUGGCUGAAAGAUGGCGUAAGCUAUCGCUUUUGGAUGGACCCGCGGCGUAUUAGCUAGUUGGUGAGGUAACGGCUCACCAAGGCGAUGAUACGUAGCCGAACUGAGAGGUUGAUCGGCCACAUUGGGACUGAGACACGGCCCAAACUCCUACGGGAGGCAGCAGUAGGGAAUCUUCCACAAUGGACGCAAGUCUGAUGGAGCAACGCCGCGUGAGUGAAGAAGGCUUUCGGGUCGUAAAACUCUGUUGUUGGAGAAGAAUGGUCGGCAGAGUAACUGUUGUCGGCGUGACGGUAUCCAACCAGAAAGCCACGGCUAACUACGUGCCAGCAGCCGCGGUAAUACGUAGGUGGCAAGCGUUAUCCGGAUUUAUUGGGCGUAAAGCGAGCGCAGGCGGUUUUUUAAGUCUGAUGUGAAAGCCCUCGGCUUAACCGAGGAAGCGCAUCGGAAACUGGGAAACUUGAGUGCAGAAGAGGACAGUGGAACUCCAUGUGUAGCGGUGAAAUGCGUAGAUAUAUGGAAGAACACCAGUGGCGAAGGCGGCUGUCUGGUCUGUAACUGACGCUGAGGCUCGAAAGCAUGGGUAGCGAACAGGAUUAGAUACCCUGGUAGUCCAUGCCGUAAACGAUGAAUGCUAGGUGUUGGAGGGUUUCCGCCCUUCAGUGCCGCAGCUAACGCAU
rnacentral:rRNA from 1 species